CGACAUUCCCAUUGACUUCUAUAGAAAGAAUGGAAAGCGGAAGUCACGUGGUUCAUGGAGCUGCUAAUAGGUCCAAACACCAGCAGCUCCAGCAUUGGACGUAGUUCAUUCUCGGUGUUUCGUAAGGAUUUUUUACGGUAAACCACACGAGAAUGGCUUAAGUGAACUGCUGAACCAUGUUGCAAACAAAGCACCACAAAGCUCCUGUGUGACCAGGCAGCGUCACAUCCCCAAACAGCUUCCCUCUUCCUAGGUGCAGCUCCACACUAGGGGUGAUUGCCAUUUCAUCUAGAGGUGUGGCUGGUAUGUGUUCUCCUGCAGCGGCAGCUCAUCAAGCCCAAUUAGGACAAGCAUACAGAGGAGCUGACUUCCUGAUGCAGAUGCCAGAUUUUAUUGCUCACAAGCAUGACUCUCCCUGCAAGCCUCCUCAUUACUCCUCUUGUUGCCCUCCUCUUGUUUCAAGCUGUUGGAUUCCUUGGACACCUUCGCUCACUCACCUGCCUGUCUACCCAUCAACAUUCCUCUGGUCUCCUCAUGAUUUCCUACUCUGGAGAGAAACAACAAAGGAAGCAAUAAUCCACUCUCCUCCUCAGUGCCAUAUCAUACAAUAAACCCAGAAGAACUCUCCAGCUGCACAAUAGUUUCAACAAACCUUUCAAAGUUUUUUUUUUGUGCCCGUGAUUGCUGCCGCACUAGAGUCUAACAUUUAACACACGACAUCUCUAAGUGCUUCUCUUGUUUACUUAUAGAUAUUUCAACUCUUAUCUAAAAAGCUUCUUCAGUUCUGAACAAAGUUUUAAGCAAAAGGCUUAUAAAUUAUAGUCAGAACAAUCACCAAUAGGGCCGUUAAGGUCACCAAUGGGCCGAUUAGGACAUGUGAGUUACUGGCUGUACCCUCGAUUCAACUCCUUAUCAGUUCUCAUGUGGUAUCGUUUCUAAAUGUGACAUAUGUCUUUCAAAACCUUGUUCUAGUGUAGAGUUUCUUGUGAACUGACUGAUAUUUCCUCUGGGGUAAAUGAAUGGACAUAAUAAACCAUCUGUUGAUAUUG